rnacentral:rRNA from 1 species
GGGGGGGGGGGGGGGGGGGGGGAGGGCGGGCGGGUCGGGCGGUGACGGGGAGAAGCGUGCUUCGUUGCGGACGGGGGGGGGGCGGGUGGGUAGUGUCUGGGGAACUGCCUGGGGGGGGGGGCUAACUCCUGGAGACGGUAGCUACGACCUCAUAACGUCUCAUGACAAAAGAGGGGGACCUUCGGGCCUCUUGCACUCGCAGUUGCCCAGAUGGGAUUAGCUAUUAGGUGGGGUAACGGCUCACGGAGGCGACGCUCCCUAGCUGGUCUGAGAGGAUGACCAGCCACACUGGAACUGAGACACGGUCCAGACUCCUACGGGAGGCAGCAGUGGGGAAUAUUGCACAAUGGGCGCAAGCCUGAUGCAGCCAUGCCGCGUGUAUGAAGAAGGCCUUCGGGUUGUAAAGUACUUUCAGCGGGGAGGAAGGGAGUAAAGUUAAUACCUUUGCUCAUUGACGUUACCCGCAGAAGAAGCACCGGCUAACUCCGUG